rnacentral:lncRNA from 10 species
UCGACCUUGGACUUCCCAGCCGCGGAACUAUGAGGAACCAAAGUUCAAGGAGGUUCAACGUCUUACAGAUUUGGUGGUGCACUUGCUCUUCCCACUGCCCAGUGAAGCGCUACUCGAUCAUACUAGACACAAUGUGGUUGGUCUAUGGGAGGGAGUAUCAGGAAGCAUGAGGAGCCCACACUUCUACAAAGAGUCGAGAUGCCUUCACAAAGAUGCCUCAUGCUGCAAGGUCGUGAAUGCCAAGUGCUCUAGUGUUUCAGAGGUGGAGGAGAUCCCUACAGAUGAGGCACCAGGAAAAGCUUCAAGGUGGAGGCCGGUCUGAGUCUGGCCUCAAAGGAUGAAAUGAUUCAGAUAAACAGCAAAACAAAGCAACAGGAAGGGAGAGAUAACAACAAAGGCAGAGAUGUAGGAGUGAGCAAGGGAGACUGAAUGAGCAGUCCCUGGGACAGAAGGUGGUUUGUGAGGCUGGAAGAGGAGUUGAAACUUGUUUGUAAUUAUUGUGUGGUGUAUUUGCAUUUCUAAUUGCGCUGAGGGACACUGAAGGCCAAGCUUCCAGUCUCUGGGCUGUCUUUCACCUGCGCCGCGGUGCUGAGUUGUUGGCGGCGGCGGCAGCGUCUUUUCUCCAAGCAGCACCUGUGAGAGCAGCAGCUCCAGCUGGAGUCCCAAGACUUCCAAUCAACAUAGAGAGCCACAGGGCCUGUGCCUGCGUGGGUUUGCUGUAAGGAGCCUGUAACGCAUCGAGGAGCCCAGCGCCCAACCCCAC